rnacentral:rRNA from 1 species
CAGUCGUACCUUCGGGUAAUCAGCCUUUCGGGUGCGAUUCUGUGGAGUUUGAGGAGCUUAACACCUUCAUGCUUUUGCAUAUUCGUGCACAUUUGGUGUACUUGUCCGUGUGGUGGGUUAACAUCAAUUUCGGUCGUCAUAAAAUGACUGGAGGAAUGUAGCUUUGGUCUCGUAUCGAAGUGUUA